rnacentral:rRNA from 1 species
UGAGGAAUAUUGGUCAAUGGGCGCAAGCCUGAACCAGCCAUCCCGCGUGAAGGAAGAAUGCGCUACGCGUUGUAAACUUCUUUUCCAGGGGGAGAAUUUUCCUGUCGAGACAGGGAUUGACGGUACCCUGGGAAUAAGCAUCGGCUAACUCCGUGCCAGCAGCCGCGGUAAUACGGAGGAUGCGAGCGUUAUCCGGAUUUAUUGGGUUUAAAGGGUGCGUAGGCGGAUUGAUAAGUCAGUGGUGAAAUUCUGCAGCUUAACUGUAGACUUGCCGUUGAUACUGUUAGUCUUGAGUGUGGUCAAGGCAGGCGGAAUGUGUAAUGUAGCGGUGAAAUGCUUAGAUAUUACACAGAACACCGAUUGCGAAGGCAGCUUGCUGGGUCAUUACUGACGCUGAUGCACGAAAGCGUGGGGAUCAAA